rnacentral:rRNA from 1 species
GAUGAACGCUGGCGGCGUGCCUAAUACAUGCAAGUCGAGCGAACAGACGAGGAGCUUGCUCCUCUGACGUUAGCGGCGGACGGGUGAGUAACACGUGGAUAACCUACCUAUAAGACUGGGAUAACUUCGGGAAACCGGAGCUAAUACCGGAUAAUAUAUUGAACCGCAUGGUUCAUAGUGAAAGACGGUUUUGCUGUCACUUAUAGAUGGAUCCCGGCCGCAUUAGCUAGUUGGUAAGGUAACGGCUUACCAAGGCAACGAUGCGUAGCCGACCUGAGAGGGUGAUCGGCCACACUGGAACUGAGACACGGUCCAGACUCCUACGGGAGGCAGCAGUAGGGAAUCUUCCGCAAUGGGCGAAAGCCUGACGGAGCAACGCCGCGUGAGUGAUGAAGGUCUUCGGAUCGUAAAACUCUGUUAUGAGGGAAGAACAAAUGUGUAAGUAACUAUGCACGUCUUGACGGUACCUAAUCAGAAAGCCACGGCUAACUACGUG